UACGUAGGGUGCAAGCGUUGUCCGGAAUUAUUGGGCGUAAAGGGUGCGUAGGCGGGUCUUUAAGUCAGGGGUGAAAUCCUGGAGCUCAACUCCAGAACUGCCUUUGAUACUGGCGAUCUCGAGUCCGGGAGAGGUGAGUGGAACUCCGAGUGUAGAGGUGAAAUUCGUAGAUAUUCGGAAGAACACCAGUGGCGAAGGCGGCUCACUGGCCCGGUACUGACGCUGAGGUGCGAAAGCGUGGGGAGCAAACAGGG
rnacentral:rRNA from 1 species